rnacentral:misc_RNA from 1 species
AACGCACGAGACCUGCGGACCUGCGGAAGGAUCAUUACCGUUGGGGGUCAAACUCCAAUCGGGAUAGACACCCUUGCCUUUGAGUACCUUUUCGUUUCCUCGGCGGGCUCGCCCGCCGGUGGACAUCCAAAAAAACCCCUUGUAAUAGCAGUAUCUUCUGAAUAAAAAGCAAAUAGUCAAAACUUUCAACAACGGAUCUCU